rnacentral:lncRNA from 1 species
GGAGGACUGGGCUUCUACCCCAGUCUCCAUGAUGGCCCUCAGCCUUAAUUAGCAGCCUCCUGCAAAAUGAAACAACGUGCUUGUUCCAAAGGGUACGAUAAAGGUCCUGACAGCUGCCUCUCACUUCCAAUCAGAUGUGGUCCUCAAAUCCCUGCAUAGAGAAACUCACCGAAACAGCACAGAGAAACACACAGACAUGCUCGCAAAGCACACAGAGACCUACCCAGAUAGGUACGACACACACACACACACACACACACACACACACACGGUUGGAGGUUCUGCUUGGAGUCACACGGCACACAAGAUUGCUGUCAAGAAAGCCUGUCCAUAAAUAGUGGCUGUACACCCUCCUCACUUACAAUUCAGGGAAAAGAAGAGCGGGGAAGAAAAGGAGGAAAAACAACAACAACAAAAGCCAUGACAGAGAGCGGGAAAAGGCAGAGACUGAAAGCGAAGGAGCGUCGGAGGAGGAGGGCGAGAGGGCUGGAGAGGAGGGCUCAUCCGAGGAGGUGGGCGAGGAGGGCUCAUCCGAGGAGGUGGGCGGGGCGGGCUGUGCGGAGGGUGCGGCCCGCGCGGUACCCGCCCCGGCGAGGCGCUGGGGAGGCCCGGGAGGGGGGAAUAAACGGGGCCUGGGGGACGGUAGGAGCCUCCGUGCGGAGACCACUGUUAAAGGCCACAGCUCAAAACUAAAGGCCCCAAAUGGUGACAGGAGAUGGCAUUGGAGAGGCAGGCAGAAGUGAGACCUUGUGGGGCCUCAUAAGCCAAGGUAAGGAGUUUGAGCUUCAGCCCAAGGGUAGUGGGGAGCCAUGGAAG